UACGGGGGGGGCAAGCGUUGUUCGGAAUUACUGGGCGUAAAGGGCUCGUAGGUGGCCAACUAAGUCAGACGUGAAAUCCCUCGGCUUAACCGGGGAACUGCGUCUGAUACUGGAUGGCUUGAGUUCGGUAGAGGGUGACGGAAUUCCCGGUGUAGCGGUGAAAUGCGUAGAUAUCGGGAGGAACAUCGAUGGCGAAGGCAAUCACCUGGGCCUGAACUGACACUGAGACACGAAAGCGUGGGUAGCAAACAGG
rnacentral:rRNA from 1 species